rnacentral:rRNA from 1 species
AUUGAACGCUGGCGGCAUGCUUUACACAUGCAAGUCGUACGGCAGCGCGGGCUUCGGCCUGGCGGCGAGUGGCGAACGGGUGAGUAAUACAUCGGAACGUGCCCAGUAGUGGGGGAUAGCUCGGCGAAAGCCGGAUUAAUACCGCAUACGACCUGAGGGUGAAAGCGGGGGAUCUUCGGACCUCGCGCUAUUGGAGCGGCCGAUGGCAGAUUAGCUAGUUGGUGGGGUAAAGGCCUACCAAGGCGACGAUCUGUAGCUGGUCUGAGAGGACGACCAGCCACACUGGGACUGAGACACGGCCCAGACUCCUACGGGAGGCAGCAGUGGGGAAUUUUGGACAAUGGGCGAAAGCCUGAUCCAGCAAUGCCGCGUGUGUGAUGAAGGCCUUCGGGUUGUAAAGCACUUUUGGCGGGAACGAAAAGGACUGUGCCAAUACCACGGUUCGAUGACGGUACCCGCAGAAUAAGCACCGGCUAACUACGUG